GAUGAACGCUGGCGGCGUGCCUAAUACAUGCAAGUCGAGCGAACGGACGAGAAGCUUGCUUCUCUGAUGUUAGCGGCGGACGGGUGAGUAACACGUGGAUAACCUACCUAUAAGACUGGGAUAACUUCGGGAAACCGGAGCUAAUACCGGAUAAUAUUUUGAACCGCAUGGUUCAAAAGUGAAAGACGGUCUUGCUGUCACUUAUAGAUGGAUCCGCGCUGCAUUAGCUAGUUUGUAAGGUAAAGGCUUACCAAGGCAACGAUGCAUAGCCGACCUGAGAGGGUGAUCGGCCACACUGGAACGGAGACACGGUCCAGACUCCUACGGGAGGCAGCAGUAGGGAAUCUUCCGCAAUGGGCGAAAGCCUGACGGAGCAACGCCGCGUGAGUGAUGAAGGUCUUCGGAUCGUAAAACUCUGUUAUUAGGGAAGAACAUAUGUGUAAGUAACUGUGCACAUCUUGACGGUACCUAAUCAGAAAGCCACGGCUAACUACGUG
rnacentral:rRNA from 1 species